rnacentral:rRNA from 1 species
UACGGAGGGUGCAAGCGUUAUCCGGAUUCACUGGGUUUAAAGGGAGCGCAGGCGGAUUGGUAAGUCAGUGGUGAAAGGCUUAAGCUUAACUUGGGAACUGCCAUUGAUACUAUCAGUCUUGAAUGUUGUUGAGGUUUGCGGAAUGGGUCAUGUAGCGGUGAAAUGCAUAGAUAUGACCCGGAACACCUAUUGCGAAGGCAGCUGGCUACACAAAUAUUGACACUGAUGCACGAAAGCGUGGGGAUCAAACAGG